rnacentral:rRNA from 1 species
UACGAAGGGGGCUAGCGUUGUUCGGAAUUACUGGGCGUAAAGCGCACGUCGGCGGAUACUUAAGUUAGGGGUGAAAUCCCAAGGCUCAACCUUGGAACUGCCUUUAAUACUGGGUAUCUCGAGUCCGGAAGAGGUGAGUGGAAUUCCGAGUGUAGAGGUGAAAUUCGUAGAUAUUCGGAAGAACACCAGUGGCGAAGGCGGCUCACUGGACUGGUAUUGACGCUGAGGUGCGAAAGCGUGGGGAGCAAACAGG